rnacentral:rRNA from 1 species
UGGGGAAUCUUCCGCAAUGGACGAAAGUCUGACGGAGCAACGCCGCGUGAGUGAAGAAGGCUUUCGGUUCGUAAAACUCUGUUGUUAGGGAAGAAAAAAUGUAUAGUAACUAUAUACAAAAGAGACGGUACCUAACCAGAAAGCCACGGCUAACUACGUGCCAGCAGCCGCGGUAAUACGUAGGUGGCAAGCGUUGUCCGGAAUUAUUGGGCGUAAAGCGCGCGCAGGUGGUUUAGAAAGUCUGAUGUGAAAGCCCACGGCUCAACCGUGGAGGGUCAUUGGAAACUAAUAAACUUGAGUGCAGGAGAGAAAAGUGGAAUUCCUAGUGUAGCGGUGAAAUGCGUAGAGAUUAGGAGGAACACCGGUGGCGAAAGCGGCUUUUUGGCCUGCAACUGACACUGAGGCGCGAAAGCGUGGGGAGCAAACAGG